rnacentral:rRNA from 1 species
GAUGAACGCUAGCGGCAGGCUUAAUACAUGCAAGUCGUGGGGCAGCAUGAGUAGCAAUACUUGAUGGCGACCGGCAAACGGGUGCGGAACACGUACACAACCUUCCGAUAAGUGGGGAAUAGCCCAGAGAAAUUUGGAUUAAUACCCCGUAACAUAUAGAGUAGGCAUCUUCUUUAUAUUAUAGCUUCGGCGCUUAUUGAUGGGUGUGCGUCUGAUUAGGUAGUUGGCGGGGUAACGGCCCACCAAGCCUACGAUCAGUAGCUGAUGAGAGAGCAUGAUCAGCCACACGGGCACUGAGACACGGGCCCGACUCCUACGGGAGGCAGCAGUAAGGAAUAUUGGACAAUGGGCGAAAGCCUGAUCCAGCCAUGCCGCGUGAAGGAUUAAGGUCCUCUGGAUUGUAAACUUCUUUUAUUUGGGACGAAAAAAGGGAAUUCUUUCCCACUUGACGGUACUAAGUGAAUAAGCACCGGCUAACUCCGUGCCAGCAGCCGCCGUAA